rnacentral:lncRNA from 1 species
AGGGAGGGUUGCUGAGUCGUCGUCAUACACUAGUCAAGGUCCGAUCUUUGUCCCCUUCUUUCCCCUCUCUCUCUCUCUCUCUCUCUCUGCAAGCGCGCUGUUUGAUCCACCGGCGGUGCCAUUGGAGCACAAGAUUCGAAUACAAGAUUAAAGCAAUAUUGAGGGGUUUGAUGAUCUUCGACGAAUUCAAAUCCACCCGGAUGUAGCAUAACCUCGGCGAGACCGGUGGAAAAGGAUACGCGGAUCCGUCUUCUGACCGGAUGACGGGAAACACAGGAUAUGGAUACGCUUCGUGAAGGAAGAUGCUGCGAUCCCGAAUCUCCGAUCGGCAAAGUUGAACGUAAUAAUUGAAAUUGGCUCCCAGCCGCUCAAAGUGGAAACGUUUUUGGGGCUUUUAAUCGGCUCGAUUGCUCUUCAUGAAAUGUCUUUAAAAAAGAGGAUUUUUUACGUGGGGAAUUAAAAUGGUUGGCUUUGAGGGUUUAGAUUCUGAUGAGGCCCGUGAGGGUGGAAAGGCAGAGGUUUUGGUCGUAUUUACAGGGAAAUAUCACGGGCACUAUAGUCAUUUCAUUCAUAAGGAAAUGUUUCUUCGAUACUGAGGUUUUGGUUCCCGAUAGCCCUACGAGAAACCCAUUAAUGGCGGCUCCGCAGAACCUUCCCCUAUGGAGCGCCCCGAAGAGUAGCUUUUGAGCUUGCGAAAGAAGAAUAGCAGAGGAGGUGGAAGCAGCUGUCUGAAUAAUGGCGUGUGUCCUCGCAACAUGCCCUCUCCCCUUCCUCAGGUCUUGUUUUUUCCUUCUCACUGAUCCUCUUUCGAGGGUUUCAAGUAUUUAGCUCCAUAAUUUCGCCCUUCUUCAAUUACUUAAGCCACCUCUGCCCCAGGAAUAAUUUUGGUUUUGCUUCAACAUAAUUGCAUUUAGAAUGUAAUUUUUUUUUUCUUUUAUCAUUUGAAUUUUAUAAAAUUUGACCGGUAGGAUAUAUCUGACAAGAGAAUUUAUUCUAUAAUGAAAAAUUUUAAGACUCAAUAAUUUUCUUGUAUUUUUUUUUAUGGAGAUUCCUUUUUUUCUCCGAGUGAAGCACGAUUUGGAUUACUAGCUUCAUUCUUGUAAGUUCUCUCGAAUACUCGAGUGAUAAGUUAGUACCUAUUGCUGGCAGCAAGGAAAUCUGAGGGAAAGGAAAAUAGAAGUUUUACUUCUCUUCGUUUUGGUUUGUACCAUCAUAAGUUGUUGUUGAUUGGAACUUGUAUUGCAUCUUUUUGUCAGAAUUUGUAUUGUUUUAUCCAUUUGCAUCCGAAGGGGUUUUCAUUUCUCUAAUUAAUGUAAAAUGCACAGAGGAGUCACACCGGGCUUUAUCGUUUGCUUGAGGGCGUGCUUUGUUAAUAUGCCAAAAUGUUGUUAUAAAUCCGCCAACAAGUCCAAGGCUGGGCUUUUCUAUUGCCAUGACUGAUUUGAUUGUAGCGAAUACGUAAUACAUACGCAUCUGCAAGAGAGCUUUUCAUAUUUAUCAUCAUAUGGUAGAAAUCAAGGCUCCUUUUUUACGUUUUUGUAGCUUCCUGACCAGUUUCUUCGGGGAUUUUUGGUUACAUGUAUUCUUCGUGAUGACAAAUCUUUUAUAUGCUCCUUUAACAACAUACUUUUCUUCAAAUUAUUUGAAAUGAUAGUACGUGAGAUCAGUGAUGCAUUGGAUUUUACAGUGGGCAGACGGAUUGCAAGAUUAUGAUUUUUCAACCUAGUAUCUCUCACCUAAAUUGUUCAAGACUGCAGAAGUGGUGUAUUUCAGCAGUCUCCAGGAAAAAAUCUCGACCAAUUGAUGUGGAAGAUAACAAUAGUACAGAAAGUACUGAUGAAGGAUCUAAGAAGACUCCACGGACUCCAAGACAUUCUAGAAAGAAAGUUGCUACAGAUAUUGC